CGACGUGGGAGUGGGUGCGCGUGCGGCUACGGCGGGGGCGGCUUCGCGCGCCGGCCGAUGCGGGAGCUCGGCGCGGCGGAGGCAGAGAGCGUGCGCGCCGGCCGUGGCUCGCCGGUGGCGACGCGGCGAGUGUGGCCGGCGUGGGGGAGUCGAGGCGGUGUUGGGAGGCGGGGGGGAGUCGAGGCGGCCAGGGUGUCGGGGUGGUCACCCGAGGCAGUGGCGGCGGCGGCGGCCUUGCGGCCGUGCAGAGGGCGAGGGUGAGAGGGAGGGGGAGGGGCAGGGGCCGGUGUGCCGCCUGCCCAGCUCGGCCGGCCCAACAGCGGCCAUUGUUUUAUUUUUUUUAUUUUUUAUUUUUCUUAUUUGAUGUAUAUGAUGUAUAAUUGUUAUAAAUAAUUAUUAAUUGUUCUAAAUAAAUAUAUAUGAUGUAAUUAUUAAUUGUCCUAAAUACUUACUAAUUGUCAUAAUUAAUUAUUAAUUAUUAAUUGUCCUAGAUAAAUGUAUAUAAUGUUUUAUUUUUCUUAAAAUUAUUAAUUGUCCUAAAUAAAUGUAUAUGAUGUUUUAUUUUUCUUAUAUACAUUGUGCAUAUCCUAAAUAAUUAUUUUUUAUUUUUCUUAUUUGAUG
rnacentral:lncRNA from 1 species